GUGUAAAGGUUCCCUAAACGUAUGGUGAUUUGAAUAUGUUUGGCCUAGGGUGUGGUGCCAUUAGGAGGUGUGGCACCGUUGGAGUGGGUGAGGCACGGUUGGAGUGGGUGUGGCAUCGUUGGAGUGGGUGUGGCCUUAUUGGAGGAAGGGUGUCACUCUGGGGAUGGGUUUGGAGAGCUUCCUCCUAGCUGCCUGGAUGCCUGGCUUCUCCUAUUUACCUUGGGAAGAAGAUACAGAACUCUUAGCUCCUCCAGCGCCAUGCCUGCCUGGUUGCUGCCAUGUUUUCCACCAGUCCAUGAUAACGGACUGAACCUCAGAACCAUAGUGGACACCCUAACUGAGACAAAACUCAAGAUCUCAAACAGCACAAGACAACAGGAAAGCAUGCAAAGCCAACUAAAGCAGGCAGAGAACUGAGAAAACUCGCCAAAGGAAAUGUCUCUGGGGCAAUGUAACAUCCAAGAAGAAAUGAGCCAGAGAGGGCCUUGCCAGAGGUACAAAGAGAGCAACAGAGAAAAGAGAUUAAAAACUAUAAAACAGACAAAAUGA